rnacentral:rRNA from 1 species
GGGAGCCUACGGGGGGCAGCAGUAGGGAAUCUUCCACAAUGGACGAAGGUCUGAUGCAGCAACGCCGCGUGAGUGAAGAAGUAUUUCGGUAUGUAAAGCUCUAUCAGCAGGGAAGAAAAUGACGGUACCUGAGUAAGAAGCCCCGGCUAACUACGUGCCAGCAGCCGCGGUAAUACGUAGGGGGCAAGCGUUAUCCGGAUUUACUGGGUGUAAAGGGAGCGUAGACGGCGAUGCAAGUCUGAAGUGAAAGCCCGGGGCUCAACCCCGGGACUGCUUUGGAAACUGUAUGGCUGGAGUGCUGGAGG